rnacentral:tRNA from 1 species
GCCUAGGUGGCUUAGUCGGUUAAGCGUCUGACUUUGGCUCAGGUCAUGAUGUCACUGCUCGUGAGUUCAAGCCCCACGUCAGGCU